rnacentral:rRNA from 1 species
GUUUGAUCCUGGCUCAGGACGAACGCUGGCGGCGUGCUUAACACAUGCAAGUCGAACGGAAAGGUCUCUUCGGAGACACUCGAGUGGCGAACGGGUGAGUAACACGUGGGUAAUCUGCCCUGCACAUCGGGAUAAGCCUGGGAAACUGGGUCUAAUACCGAAUAUGACUACGGGACGCAUGUCCUGUGGUGGAAAGCUUUUGCGGUGUGGGAUGGGCCCGCGGCCUAUCAGCUUGUUGGUGGGGUGACGGCCUACCAAGGCGACGACGGGUAGCCGGCCUGAGAGGGUGUCCGGCCACACUGGGACUGAGAUACGGCCCAGACUCCUACGGGAGGCAGCAGUUAGGAAUCUUGCGCAAUGGACGAAAGUCUGACGCAGCGACGCCGCGUGCGGGAUGAAGGCCUUCGGGUUGUAAACCGCUUUCAGCAGGGACGAAAUUGACGGUACCUGCAGAAGAAGCCCCGGCCAACUACGUGCCAGCAGCCGCGGUAAUAA